GUGCAGGCUGUUCAGCAAGGCUUGGUCUACUCUACUGUGACUCUGUCCUUUCCUGUAUGUCUGCUAGAGAGAUGUUGAGGUGGUUUGAGGCCUGGCUGUGUUGUCUAUAGCAAGGUUAUAGAAACCUCAUACAAAU
ensembl:snoRNA